GAAACACGCUUGGGCCUGGUUCAAGGCCUAGCGUUGAGUCCAUGAACAAGAGAGGGUGCAACAGGAGGUGUGAAUAUCAGGUUUGGGCCCUAGGCACAAACAAACUUACACAAACCAGAUCCAAACACGACUUCAAGGAGUUAUUAGGUCAUCUCUCGAUUCUCAACGGCGACACCAAAACCUUCAACCUUCAUUCCAAAUAAUCAUGCGCUCUCUCCUCCUUUUAUCUCAAUUCCAAAAUUUGAUGCACAACAGAAACAUCACGAACACGAUUUCACGUUUAAGCUUCAGCAUCUUCACCAUGCGGUAUGAGAAGAAUGUGAAAUCGCGAUGUAACGGAUCGUGAACAUCAAGAAGUAAAAAGAAAAACCCACUAGAUUUGAAUCCGACGCGGUGGUUCUAGCAACGUCGAAGACUUUGCAGAUGGUCACGACUGUAGUUCUGUUGCAGAGAUGUUGUUGAAGUUAAAAUACAUGGUGAACAUCUUGGUCAUGAGUUAUUGGGAACUUUGCAGGUUUUGGUCAUGAUCCUACUAUUAACAAUAGGUGCAUUAGUUAAUCAGUAAAGUCGACAUUAAGUUACUUCUUGGCUUGAAGAACUUUGGACUUGGAGUUUAUUUGUAAAUUUAUGAAUUGAAACAAUGUAAAUUGUAAUUUGAUGUGAAUUAUGGAAUUGUUAUGAAAUGGAAAGUUGGAAUGAAUUUACAAAUUGACAUUGAAUGAGAUAUGGAAAUCAUGAAUGUGUAUUGAUUUUAAAGUUCUGUUUGAAUGGAUAUUUGAAUAAGUGACAUUGGCUUGUUUAUGGUA